rnacentral:rRNA from 1 species
GACGAACGCUGGCGGCGUGCUUAACACAUGCAAGUCGAACGAAAAUACCAAGCUUGCUUGGUUGAUUAGUGGCGAACGGGUGAGUAACACGUGAGUAACCUGCCCCUUACUUUCCUGGAUAACUGCUCGAAAGGGUAGCUAAUACGGGAUAUUCUGACCAGCCUGCAUGGGUUGGUUUGGAAAGGUUGUUUUUCUGGUAAGGGAUGGGCUCGCGGCCUAUCAGCUUGUUGGUGGGGUGAUGGCCUACCAAGGCUUUGACGGGUAGCCGGCCUGAGAGGGUGGACGGUCACACUGGGACUGAGAUACGGCCCAGACUCCUACGGGAGGCAGCAGUGGGGAAUAUUGCACAAUGGGCGCAAGCCUGAUGCAGCGACGCCGCGUGAGGGAUGAAGGCCUUCGGGUUGUAAACCUCUUUCGUCAGGGAACAAGGCACUGCUUUUUUGGUGGUGUUGAGGGUACCUGGAUAAGAAGCGCCGGCUAACUACGUA